rnacentral:lncRNA from 1 species
AUGGAGAGGGGCAGCCCCCCUGCCAGCCUCAGACCAACCCUCGGGUUGUGCCCAGCCGCUGGGCGAUCCCAAAAGGCUGCCAUCCCCGCUGCUCACCUCCCUGGCUCCCUGCCGGCUCCGCUCCUCCUCCUCCUGCAGGUUCUGCAGGAACUCGGACAGCACCAGGGAGUCGCGCAGGUCGGCGGCUCGGCGCCGCAGGGCUGCCUGCACCUGUGCCAACCUACGGGGACAGGCGGCCCUCAGUGGACACCGGCACCUCCCUGGGUGAAACAUCCUCCUCCCCACGCGCCCCGGGGCCAGGAGAGGAGGCGGCCUCCCCUGCUACUCACUUCUCCUCCACCAUCUCCACCUUCCUCUGCAUCUUCCUCGCUCCCUCGCGCUCCGCGGGCAUCCCGCCCGCCGCCUCCUCCCGCAGCGCCUGGAGCUUGCUGCCGCACAGCAGGAGCUGCCUCUCCAGCUGGCCCUGUCCCCUCCAGGUCCCUGCGCAGCUCCGCGGGGCUCCUCAUGGCUGCUGGCUCCGAGAGCGACCCCGCCACGGCUUGCAGCCACCGCUCGGCGCGGUCCAGCUCCCCCACCAGCCUCAGCGCCUGCGGGGACAGCGGGGAGGUGGGACCGACCCCAUUGGCCCCCCAGGGGGUGCAGGAGCAGCGUGAGGGUGACGCCGGCCACUCACCUUAUCGAUUUCCCUCAGCACGGCACCGUUCUCCUGGUGCUUCCUCUGCAGGUCCUCCCACAGCUCGCCCAGCUCCCGCAGCAUGGCCUCCACCUGGGGGCUCCCCGCGCCCUCCUGGAGGCAGGGGCAGCGCUCAGGGUGGCUCCCACCCCGUGUCCCCAUGCUGGAGGGGGCUCAGCGGUGGCACAGGCACGCAGGAGCCCGCCCUUCCCAGCUCUCUGCAUCUCCCCCCGGGAGCUGGGGGGGCUCUCCUCGAGCGGGGCUGCAGCCUGCUGAGGAGCACGGGGACCCGAAAUUCGCAGGGGGUGGGAAAGGGGACCCCAAAAAUGGAUGGACUGGGAAUAGAGGGGCAGGGGGGACGCGGCUGGGCUCUCGGGGAGGCGUUACCGUGCUUGGCACCCGGCCGACAUCCUGCGCCAGGGCCUCGGGGGGCCACGUGCCCCUCUCAGCCUCCACCUCUCCGGGACCCCGUCUCCUCCUGCGGAGAGGGGGGCGGUCAGCCACGGGGACCCCCGCUCCGCCCCACUCCCCGCAGCCUCCUCCGCGAGCCCGUACCUCCUGCUGUCCCCUCCCGCUGCCGGACAGCCAGGGCCGCUCUCCUCGCCUCGCACGUGCUCCACCAGCCUCCUCGACAUGUCCCUCGGCACCUGCGGCACCAAGGCUCCCAUGCCUCCUCCGCCCGGCCCCAAAAGGGCUUCGCCUCGCCGCGGGCCGGGUGCAGGGCUCCUUGCUGCAUCCCAGCCACGGCACAGCGCUGGGCUUGGGCUUGGGCCAGCGGCCAAAUUCCCACAAGCUCGGCCGCCUUCCUACCACGGAGGCCCCGGAGAGGCCGGGGGGAGGCAGGGCUGAGCCGUGCUCACCGUGCUGCCGCCGGGAUCUCUCUUCUGCUUGUCUCCUGCCUCCUUUCCCACCAGCUCCUGGCUGCUGCCGUCUCCGCGGGGCUCAGCGCUCGCAGCCGCAGCUUCCCCCCCUGGGAAACCGCUUCCCACAGCCACUGCCGGAGCCUUGUCCGUCCUGGGAAGGGGCAGGGAGUGAAGGGAGGCUCGGGGGGGGGGGGCAGAGGAUGGAGAAAAGAGAGCCCCGAAGUGGAGAGAGCCCCUAAAGCUCACUUUUUGUGGUCCUGA